CAGAGAGUUUGCAGCCAGCAGAGAGCCGCCAGGAGAGAUACUAACCAGAGAUAAAUUGAUUAGUUUCACAUGGCCCCACAGGUACUGCAACUAACUCCAGAGACCAGCUGGAGCAGCUCGAGGACCGCCUUGGUCAGAGAGUACUUGGGGGCAGAGUGGAGCCACUGAGGUCAAAGUACCCUCCAGUGCCAUGUGGCUCUACCAUGCGGGAUAAAAGGCUCUGCCUUUUUAAAUAUUUACCGCAGUAGAUGGGGAACCAAUGUGUUAGGCAAGAAUCCACUAAAAAUUGAAGAUUUUCAGCCUGAGAAAGUGUAAUUUUCUAAGAGGGGGCCAAUGCCCUGUUACAUCACGUGAUGUCACAAGCACAGGAACCUUAAACAAAAGGGACACAGAGGCAGCCUGCUUACAGGCCCUAGGACCCCUGCUGUGAAAAGUGUAGGCUGCCCUGAACACAGAGUUGCAGAAGACCCCACGGGUGCUGCAAGAGACCAGCUGGAACGGCUCGAGGACCGCCCGGGUCAGAGAGUACUUGGGCAGUGUGGAGCUGCUGAGAUGAAAGUAUCCCACAGUGCCAUGGGCCUAUGGGUGCCAGCGCUAGCCCAGGAUAAAAAGGAACACCAGAGACCCCUCAUUAGACUGGUGAUUCUCAUCCGGAGGAAUCGGGCACAGUUCUGGAACCCUGGUGGAAGGGAUCUUUCCUGAGGUUGUUAACCACUGUCAGAGCCCUCAAAGGUGGACGGUAUUGCUGCCUGGGUGCUCGUGUCCCAUAUGAAGCCUGCAGAUGCCCUGCUCCCCGGGACUCCCACUGGUUGCUUCCUUGUGCCGGUUUGUCAAACCUGGUCUGUGGUUUCCACUGGAACUGGAGAUGAGUUUGCCUCCUUGAUGGACUCCAAACCCUUCAACACCUGGUGGCCUGACUUCACUUUCAACCUGUGCCAGCAGGCAGCAGGACUUGACUGCUGGGACAUCCCCACCCAUGAUGGGAGCACUGGCGGAAGCAAACUGCACAUAUGGGAGAAAGAGGGCUCUGGGCUGGGGUUAGGGGGUGGGCUGUAGGAUGUGCAUUCCCUGCACAGAUAUCGCCUGCAGGAGACCCCACUUAAGUUUGCCCUCGAGAUGGAAGAAGCCGGGCAGAAGUUCACCGAUGUGGGGGUCCAGACUAGUUUUAUUGACCAGCCUGGGAAUGCCACACUACAGGAGACACCUACUGGAACCCCUCCUCUUCUUGGGACUUGAUCAUGGAAAAAAAUUAUACUAUAGGGGGACCCUAUCUGGGGGACCAAGGGUAUUGGGAUACUCCCUGGGCAAACACCACCUGUAACCCAAUAAUAAUCAGAUUCACUCAGAAAGGCAAAGAAGCAACAGGAUGGCUAAAGGGAAAAACUUGGGGACUCAGGUUGUACAAAUUGGGGUAUGAUGAUGGCCAAGGUGAGAAAAGGGAUAGCCAAACAGAAAAAGAGAAAGAGAGCAGUCAGAGCUGGUUCGAGUCUUGGUUUAACUCGUCUCCUUGGCUAACCACCCUCAUAUCCACCUUGUUAAGACCCCCUCUUUGUUCUGCUAUUGUUGACCUUUGGACCCCGCAUAUUGAACAAGUUUAUAGCCUUCAUAAAAGAGAGAAUGGGGAGCAGUGCAGCUGAUGGUCCUGCACCAAUAAUAUGAGACCCUGAGGACAGGACCUGAAGAAUAUGAGUUAGUCAUCAGAGGCCCCUGAGUGUAGCUCCAAGAUUAGAGCUUGUACAAGAAAAAGGGACCCUUAGGGCUUUCACCAGCCUUACACCCACCUGCCUUGGGACAAGGCUAGGCCAAGUUCCAUUGUCCACCCACAGGAAUAUUCUUCAGUAAAAAAAGUUCUCAGAAUGUACUGACCAAUGCUUGCUAGCCAAUAGAUUUAAAGGUCAAUAUGAUUAGCCAAUAAGUUUAAACUGUAACCUUACUGAUAUAACCUGUGCUCCUGAAAAGUAUAAAAACUGCUUGCUAGAGUCAUUCGGGAUCACCUUCUAGUCACUCGACACGAGGGACUGAUUGAAGGUUGACCCCGACACACCAGAAAAUAAACCUCUUUUACAUCGAUCUGCUUCUUGGUGUCUCACUCAUGGGUGUCUUGAAGUAAGUACCACUGACCGAGGGUUGAGGUCUUACGGCAUGACAAUAUAUGGCUGAAUCACAGCAUUUGAGAGGAAGAUUGGGAAUUCAAGGUCCUCCUCUGCUUCUUAGUGAGUUCAAGGCUAACUUGACCUUCUUGUGACCCUGACUCAAAAACAAACAGGCCUGCCAGAGUCGG
rnacentral:lncRNA from 1 species